rnacentral:rRNA from 1 species
AUACGGGGGGUGCAAGCGUUAUUCGGAUUUAUUGGGCGUAAAGGGCGCGUAGGCGGCUUGGUAAGUCAGAUGUGAAAGCCCGGGGCUUAACCCCGGAAGUGCAUUUGAAACUAUCAAGCUUGAGUAUGGGAGAGGGAAGUGGAAUUCCUGGUGUAGAGGUGAAAUUCGUAGAUAUCAGGAGGAACACCGGUGGCGAAGGCGACUUCCUGGACCAAUACUGACGCUGAGGCGCGAAGGCGUGGGGAGCAAACAGGAUUAGAAACCCCAGUAGUCC